AUUGAACGCUGGCGGAAUGCUUUACACAUGCAAGUCGGGCGGCAGCGCGGGGCAACCCUCGGCGGCGAGCGGCGAACGGGUGAGUAACACAUCGGAACGUACCCUAUCGUGGGGGAGUAGCUCGGCGAAAGCCGGAUUAAUACCGCAUACGACCUGAGGGUGAAAGCGGGGGAUUGGUAACGACCUCGCGCGACUGGAGCGGCCGAUGGCGGAUUAGCUAGUUGGUGGGGUAAAGGCCUACCAAGGCGACGAUCCGUAGCGGGUCUGAGAGGACGGCCCGCCACACUGGGACUGAGACACGGCCCAGACUCCUACGGGAGGCAGCAGUGGGGAAUUUUGGACAAUGGGCGCAAGCCUGAUCCAGCCAUUCCGCGUGAGUGAAGAAGGCCUUC
rnacentral:rRNA from 1 species